GAUGUGUGUGGCAGUGUUUACCAAUGAAUUGAGCGAUUCCCAGGAGCACUGGACUGCAGGUGCUACUAUGACUGAUGGCCUGGUUGAGCUGUUGCAUGGCUGACAACGACACAAAAUUUCAGAAGCAAUGUUUAUCUUCCUGUUCUCCAAGUACACUUUGAAAUUAUUUCUGGUCAUCUUUCCUUUGAACUGCAUUCUUCUUUGGUGGUGACAGUGUUGUGCAGUAGUACACAGGCAAAGCAAAACAAGGCUUGGAGACAAUUGAUUACAUCGUUAAAACCUAUAUCUUCAGGUAAUUUGGGUUCACAAUUUGGUGAUGCCAGUGCUAUGCAGUGCUACAUAGGCAAAGCAACAUGGGGCUUGCAGACAAUUACACCAUUAAAGCCCAAAUCUUCAGGUAACGUAUGUCAACAGGACAACAAGUAUCAAUUAUUCAUAGGUGUACCUCAGUUUCUCAUUUCAAUAGUGACAAACUGUUUGCUAAUUACCUUUAGUGAACACUAGUGUCAGAUCUAUUCAUUGCAACUUCUUAAUUUGUUGCAUGUGUUAUGCAUCAUUUUAGCUAUUCAGGUUUCAGGUUUUUUAAAAGCCACAUUCUUGAAUGCUUAAGAUCAUCAUUUUAUAUAAUUGAACAACAAAUGAUUUCAUGCCAAUGAAUUAUGAAUAUAUUCCCUGAUAUAUUACACAAUGAGGAGCCUCCUAAAGAGAAAGGCAUCAAAUACCAUACCCAGGGGUUGUUAUUGUUACACGAUUAUCCAAAAGAUGAUAAACACUUUUCAUCCUCAUUAAAACAUAAAGUCUCUUCACAAACCAAUUGUAUUCUGCCUCCAAGUUUCAUGGCCUGUCUAAGCCUUGACUGAAAAUAAAAAGUCAAGCCUAAUCACUCAUAGGAGGCAUCUUGUAAUUUUCUAUAUAACCAAUGUCUAACUGAGUCUUAGUAACUAUUUUUCUUUCAACUUGAAACAUGUUAUUAUUUAUUUAUUUUACACUAUGAAUUGAAUCUGGUAACUUCACACAUGUGUCAUUACAGACUUUUCACAUUUGUUUCAUCUACCACAUUCCACCCCUGUCCCUUCACCUGGUUGGCAUCCAUUCUUUCUCAUUAUCCUUUCACCUCCUCCAGUAAGAUCACAUCCUCCUUUUGUAUUAUUACACACAAAUACACACAAACACACACACACAAGCACAUACACACAAGCACAUACACAUGUAUUCUCAUCUGCAGAGAAUACAUAGGAUCUCUGUGGGAUGCUGAUUUGGAGUCAUUGCGUAUAUACCCUACAGUGAUUUGGCUAAGUCAGAAGGUAAUUCUGGACCGGAGCACCAGGAUACCUUGCCGGCGGAGUCGCCCGACACCCGCAAGGGCCCACACAGGACUCCCCACGGGAUCCUAAGACCUCUGGUGAGUGGAACACAGCGCCGGCCCCAAUCCAAUCACGCGGAACCUGAGACUGCGGUAAAUAGGGAAGCAGACUACCCGGACCUGACCUGGGGCAAAAGUCCCUUCCGCCCCACUCGAGCACUGGGGUACCUUGCCAGCAGAGUCGCCCGACACCUGCAAGGGCCCACACAGGAUUCCCCACGGGAUCCUAAGACCUCUAGUGAGUGGAACACAACUUCUGCCAGGAGGCAGGUUCGAACACCAGAUAUCUGGGUGCCUUCCCUGCAAGAAGAGAGCUUGCCUGCAGAUAAUACUCUGCCCACUGAAACUAAGGAGAGAGCUAGCCUCCCAGGUCUGCUUAUUGAGGCUAACAGAGUCACCUGAAGACCAAGCUCUUACCAGAGACAACUAUAACAGCUAGCUUCAGAGAUUAUCAGAUGGCGAAAAGCAAAUGUAAGAAUCCUACUAACAAAAAUCAAGACCACUUACCAUCAUCAGAACGCAGCACUCCCACCCCACCUAGUCCUGGGCACCCCAACACAACCGAAAAUCUAGACCCAGAUUUAAAAACAUUUCUCAUGAUGAUGAUAGAGGACAUCAAGAAGGACUUCCAUAAGUCACUUAAAGAAUUACAGGAGAGCACUGCUAAAGAGUUACAUGCCCUUAAAGAAAAGAAGGAAAACACAACCAAACAGGUAGAAGUCCUUAAAGAAAAACAGGAAAACACAUCCAAACAGGUGAUGGAAAUGAACAAAACCAUACUAGAACUAAAUAGGGAAGUAGACACAAUAAAGAAAACCCAAAGUGAGGCAACGCUGGAGAUAGAAACCCUAGGAAAGAGAUAUGGAAACAUAGAUUUGAGCAUCAGCAACAGAAUACAAGAAAUAGAAGAGAGAAUCUAAGGUGCAGAAGAUUCCAUAGAGAACAUCGACACAACAGUCAAAGAAAAUACAAAAUGAAAAAGGAUCCUAACUCAAAACAUCCAAGAAAUCCAGGAUACAAUGAGAAGACCAAACCCACGGAUAAUAGGAGUUGAUGAGAAUGAAGAUUUUCAACUUAAAGGGCCAGCUAAUAUCUUCAAAAAAAUAAUAGAAGAAAACUUCCCAAACAUAAAGAAAGAGAUGCCCAUG
rnacentral:lncRNA from 1 species